UCGUGCAACAAGGGGGCGUCCGAGGUUGUCGCUGACCCACCUAAGGUCGUGCACGCCUCGAGCGUUCUCAUUUACACAUCCAUCUCACCCUUUGUGCAUCACCGCGUGGGCCCCCCUUUUGAUUCAAAAAGGUGGCCUGCGUUUUCACAUAAAAACUCUAAUGUCGUGUAUAGAAUGUCUUUUUCGUGGUCACACGCGAUCAAUA
rnacentral:misc_RNA from 1 species